rnacentral:rRNA from 1 species
AGGACGAACGCUGGCGGCGUGCCUAAUGCAUGCAAGUCGAGCGACGAAUAGGUGAGGGUAACCGAGCCUAUUACGGAGCGGCGAACGGGUGAGUAACACGUGAGCAACCUGCCCCGAAGAUCGGGAUAGCCCAGGGAAACUUGGAUUAAUACCGGAUAUCCUCCAUUGAUCGCAUGGUCGUUGGAAGAAAUGCUUUUACGCUUCUGGAUGGGCUCGCGGCCUAUCAGCUUGUUGGUGGGGUAACGGCCUACCAAGGCGUCGACGGGUAGCUGGUCUGAGAGGACGAUCAGCCACACUGGGACUGAGACACGGCCCAGACUCCUACGGGAGGCAGCAGCAGGGAAUUUUGCGCAAGUGGGCGAAAGCCUGACGCAGCAACGCCGCGUGGGGGAUGGAAGGCCGUUCGGGUUCGUAAACCCGUUUUAGGAGGGACGAAGUUGUACGGUACCUCCAGAAAACGCCCGGACCAACGUACGUGCCAGCAGCCGC